rnacentral:rRNA from 1 species
AGUUGACCUCGAAUCAGGUAGGAA